rnacentral:rRNA from 1 species
CCCGCUGAACUUAAGCAUAUCAAUAAGCGGAGGAAAAGAAACUAACAAGGAUUCCCCUAGUAACUGCGAGUGAAGCGGGAAAAGCUCAAAUUUAAAAUCUGGUGGUCUUUGGCCAUCCGAGUUGUAAUUUAGAGAAGUGUCUUCCGCGCUGGACCAUGCACAAGUCUCCUGGAAUGGAGCGUCAUAGAGGGUGAGAAUCCCGUCUUUGGCAUGGACACACCAGGGCUUCUGUGAUGCGCUCUCGAAGAGUCGAGUUGUUUGGGAAUGCAGCUCAAAAUGGGUGGUGAACUCCAUCUAAAGCUAAAUAUUGGCGAGAGACCGAUAGCGAACAAGUACCGUGAGGGAAAGAUGAAAAGCACUUUGGAAAGAGAGUGAAACAGUACGUGAAAUUGCUGAAAGGGAAACGCUUGAAGUCAGUCACGUCUGCCAGGACUCAGCCUCGCUUCUGCCUGGUGUACUUUCUGGUUUGAUGGGCCAACAUCAAUUUUGACCGUCGGAGAAAGGCUUUGGGAAUGUGGCACCUUUGGGUGUGUUAUAGCCCUUUGUUGUAUACGACGGUCGGGAUUGAGGACUGCAGCACGCCUUCAUGGCCGGGGUUCGCCCACGUACGUGCUUAGGAUGUUGGCAUAAUGGCUUUAAGCGACCCGUCUUGAAACACGG